rnacentral:rRNA from 1 species
AUACGGAGGAUGCGAGCGUUAUCCGGAUUUAUUGGGUUUAAAGGGAGCGUAGGCGGGAGCUUAAGUCAGCGGUUAAAUGGUGCGGCUCAACCGUGCCCUGCCGUUGAAACUGGGUUUCUUGAGAGUGCAAGAGGCGGAUGGGAUUCAUGGUUGUGCGGUGGAAUGCUUAGAUAUCAUGAAGAACUCCGAUUGCGAAGGCAGUCCGCUGGGGCACGUCUGACGCUGAUGCUCGAAGGUGCGGGAAUCAAACAGGAUUAGAUACCCUGGUAGUCCGCACGGUAAACGAUGAUUACCCGCUGUCGGCGGUAGACAGUCGGCGGCCAAGCGAAAGCGAUAAGUAAUCCACCUGGGGAGUACGCCGGCAACGGUGAAACUCAAAUGAAUUGGCGGGG